GUUUGGAGUCCUUUCUCUGAGCUGCUCUUUAGGAGAAAGCUUGGCUUAGUAGAACCUAAGCUUAGAUUGUUCCUACCUCGCAUGUACUGAGAACUACUUCACAUGGCUACUACAAGUUAGACAUUUUGCUCACAUUUUCAUACAUGCUGUCAUUUAAUCUUCACUGUUGUCAUGUAAGAUAGAUGUUAUAAGUACACUGAAACCCAAAGACUAAUUUAUCUGAGAUCAACCCAUGGCUAAAUCCUAGAGUCAGGAUUGUAGGAUUACCAGAACCUAUGCUCUUUUCCCUCUCAUUGUUUUUCUAGAGCUAAUACUUUUUGGAAGUGUUGGAAAGGCAAGGAUUUUACCUUCACAUGGCAUGUUGGAAAUGAGACUUUUGAGUCUCUAAAUCCCUCUGCUAUUCCCCCCUAUUGAUAAGGGCAGUUGAACGUCCAUCUACCCUGGGAAAUAAGGAUACCCUCCUUCUUAGGCAGAAGUUCCUUUAUUUCAUGGUUGAGUGACCUCAGCAAGAAUGUCUCAAUCCUUCAGUCAUAUGACUCUAUAUUCACUUCAGUGCCUUUUUUGAUUUUUGGCAGUGAAGUUCCUUUCAGACAGAGCAUUAUACUCUCACUUGCCAAUAUCCCCACUGUUAUCUCUGGCUUGCUUUAAUCAUUUAUGCUGCUGCUGUUUAGAAUUUGAUUUGAGUGUUGUGAGGUUUAAAUAGGAUCAUCCAUGUAGAGUGCUGAGUACAGUGACUGGCACAUUUUAACAGCUCAAUAAAUGGCAGCUACCACAAUGGUUUUCACUGAGUGGAGAGUAUCCUGUAAUCGCAAGAUUUCACAUUUCAUGAAGGCAGGAGCCAUAUCUUUACUCAUUUUCAUGGGCCCUGAACUGAUUAGCCCAGAGUUUUGCAAAUGGUGUGCCUCAAUGAAGAUUUGCUGGUUAAUUAAUUAAUCUGCCAAGCUCAGAUGAAUUAGUUAAAGUAUGGAAAAUAAGGAAAAGGAUGCAGCAAUGAGACACCACCUUGGAAGCAGAGACCAGACCAUCACCAGAUGAUAACAAGCUGUUGUCUUGACCUUGGACUUCUCAGUCUCCAGAACUAUGAGAAAUACAUUUCUGUUGUUUAUAAAUUACCUAGUCUGUGGUAUUUCAUUAUUGUAGCACAAAUUUACUAAGACAAUGCCUCUCAGUUAGGUCAGAUAUAGCUGCCGGAGAAUCUAAAAUCUGUGGGCACUGGGGCUAAUUUAACCAUUUCUAACCCAUCCAAGAUACAAUACAGGAAAAACGGAAUAGCUACACUCCAGAGAAUAUGCCAUAGUCUACUCACAGGACUGUAUGCCAUAUUCAUUUUUUACUCUCUAUCUGGCCUUUUUUUUUUUUUUCUGCGACAGGGUCUGGGUUUGCCGC
rnacentral:lncRNA from 13 species